GGCCUUGUAGUGAAAUUCAUGAUGAGUUGCAAGCUCAUUGAUGCGCGUUGAUUCGUGCCGGGGCCU
rnacentral:tRNA from 1 species